rnacentral:rRNA from 1 species
UACGUAGGUGGCAAGCGUUGUCCGGAAUUACUGGGUGUAAAGGGCGCGUAGGCGGUCUCUUAAGCGUGUGGUGAAAGCCCGGGGCUCAACUCCGGGUCGGCCGUGCGAACUGGGGGACUGGAGCUUGUCAGAGGCAGGCGGAAUUCCGGGUGUAGCGGUGGAAUGCGUAGAGAUCCGGAAGAACACCGGUGGCGAAGGCGGCCUGCUGGGACAGUGCUGACGCUGAGGCGCGACAGCGUGGGGAGCAAACAGG